rnacentral:pre_miRNA from 1 species
UAGGGUGGCUAACCAUCCUGGUUUGCCUGGGACUGAGGGGCUUUCUGGGCUGUGAGACUUUCAGUGCUAAAAUCAGGACAGUCCUGGACAAGCCAAAAUGGUUGGUUACCCUAGCCGUAC